GACGAACGCUGGCGGCGUGCUUAACACAUGCAAGUCGAACGGAAAGGCCCUGCUUUUGUGGGUUGCUCGAGUGGCGAACGGGUGAGUAACACGUGAGUAACCUGCCCUUGACUUUGGGAUAACUUCAGGAAACUGGGGCUAAUACCGGAUAGGAGCUCCUGCUGCAUGGUGGGGGUUGGAAAGUUUCGGCGGUUGGGGAUGGACUCGCGGCUUAUCAGCUUGUUGGUGGGGUAGUGGCUUACCAAGGCUUUGACGGGUAGCCGGCCUGAGAGGGUGACCGGCCACAUUGGGACUGAGAUACGGCCCAGACUCCUACGGGAGGCAGCAGUGGGGAAUAUUGCACACUGGGCGGAAGCCGGAUGCAGCAACGCCGCGUGCGGGAUGACGGCCUUCGGGUUGUAAACCGAUUUCGCCUGUGACGAAGCGUGAGUGACGGUAAUGGGGAAAGAAGCACCGGCUAACUACGU
rnacentral:rRNA from 1 species